AUUCAAGUAGUUUAAGUAUAGAAUUUAAAUUUGUGGUGUUUAAGGUAAAAUUUUUCUUGAGUC
rnacentral:tRNA from 1 species